rnacentral:rRNA from 2 species
UUAAGCGACUAAGCGUACACGGUGGAUGCCCUGGCAGUCAGAGGCGAUGAAGGACGUGCUAAUCUGCGAUAAGCGUCGGUAAGGUGAUAUGAACCGUUAUAACCGGCGAUUUCCGAAUGGGGAAACCCAGUGUGUUUCGACACACUAUCAUUAACUGAAUCCAUAGGUUAAUGAGGCGAACCGGGGGAACUGAAACAUCUAAGUACCCCGAGGAAAAGAAAUCAACCGAGAUUCCCCCAGUAGCGGCGAGCGAACGGGGAGGAGCCCAGAGCCUGAAUCAGUGUGUGUGUUAGUGGAAGCGUCUGGAAAGGCGCGCGAUACAGGGUGACAGCCCCGUACACAAAAAUGCACAUGCUGUGAGCUCGAUGAGUAGGGCGGGACACGUGGUAUCCUGUCUGAAUAUGGGGGGACCAUCCUCCAAGGCUAAAUACUCCUGACUGACCGAUAGUGAACCAGUACCGUGAGGGAAAGGCGAAAAGAACCCCGGCGAGGGGAGUGAAAAAGAACCUGAAACCGUGUACGUACAAGCAGUGGGAGCACGCUUCGGCGUGUGACUGCGUACCUUUUGUAUAAUGGGUCAGCGACUUAUAUUCUGUAGCAAGGUUAACCGAAUAGGGGAGCCGAAGGGAAACCGAGUCUUAACUGGGCGUUAAGUUGCAGGGUAUAGACCCGAAACCCGGUGAUCUAGCCAUGGGCAGGUUGAAGGUUGGGUAACACUAACUGGAGGACCGAACCGACUAAUGUUGAAAAAUUAGCGGAUGACUUGUGGCUGGGGGUGAAAGGCCAAUCAAACCGGGAGAUAGCUGGUUCUCCCCGAAAGCUAUUUAGGUAGCGCCUCGUGAAUUCAUCUCCGGGGGUAGAGCACUGUUUCGGCAAGGGGGUCAUCCCGACUUACCAACCCGAUGCAAACUGCGAAUACCGGAGAAUGUUAUCACGGGAGACACACGGCGGGUGCUAACGUCCGUCGUGAAGAGGGAAACAACCCAGACCGCCAGCUAAGGUCCCAAAGUCAUGGUUAAGUGGGAAACGAUGUGGGAAGGCCCAGACAGCCAGGAUGUUGGCUUAGAAGCAGCCAUCAUUUAAAGAAAGCGUAAUAGCUCACUGGUCGAGUCGGCCUGCGCGGAAGAUGUAACGGGGCUAAACCAUGCACCGAAGCUGCGGCAGCGACACUAUGUGUUGUUGGGUAGGGGAGCGUUCUGUAAGCCUGUGAAGGUGGCCUGUGAGGGUUGCUGGAGGUAUCAGAAGUGCGAAUGCUGACAUAAGUAACGAUAAAGCGGGUGAAAAGCCCGCUCGCCGGAAGACCAAGGGUUCCUGUCCAACGUUAAUCGGGGCAGGGUGAGUCGACCCCUAAGGCGAGGCCGAAAGGCGUAGUCGAUGGGAAACAGGUUAAUAUUCCUGUACUUGGUGUUACUGCGAAGGGGGGACGGAGAAGGCUAUGUUGGCCGGGCGACGGUUGUCCCGGUUUAAGCGUGUAGGCUGGUUUUCCAGGCAAAUCCGGAAAACUAAGGCUGAGGCGUGAUGACGAGGCACUACGGUGCUGAAGCAACAAAUGCCCUGCUUCCAGGAAAAGCCUCUAAGCAUCAGGUAACAUCAAAUCGUACCCCAAACCGACACAGGUGGUCAGGUAGAGAAUACCAAGGCGCUUGAGAGAACUCGGGUGAAGGAACUAGGCAAAAUGGUGCCGUAACUUCGGGAGAAGGCACGCUGAUAUGUAGGUGAAGCGACUUGCUCGUGGAGCUGAAAUCAGUCGAAGAUACCAGCUGGCUGCAACUGUUUAUUAAAAACACAGCACUGUGCAAACACGAAAGUGGACGUAUACGGUGUGACGCCUGCCCGGUGCCGGAAGGUUAAUUGAUGGGGUUAGCGGUAACGCGAAGCUCUUGAUCGAAGCCCCGGUAAACGGCGGCCGUAACUAUAACGGUCCUAAGGUAGCGAAAUUCCUUGUCGGGUAAGUUCCGACCUGCACGAAUGGCGUAAUGAUGGCCAGGCUGUCUCCACCCGAGACUCAGUGAAAUUGAACUCGCUGUGAAGAUGCAGUGUACCCGCGGCAAGACGGAAAGACCCCGUGAACCUUUACUAUAGCUUGACACUGAACAUUGAGCCUUGAUGUGUAGGAUAGGUGGGAGGCUUUGAAGUGUGGACGCCAGUCUGCAUGGAGCCGACCUUGAAAUACCACCCUUUAAUGUUUGAUGUUCUAACGUUGGCCCCUGAUCGGGGUUGCGGACAGUGUCUGGUGGGUAGUUUGACUGGGGCGGUCUCCUCCUAAAGAGUAACGGAGGAGCACGAAGGUUGGCUAAUCCUGGUCGGACAUCAGGAGGUUAGUGCAAUGGCAUAAGCCAGCUUGACUGCGAGCGUGACGGCGCGAGCAGGUGCGAAAGCAGGUCAUAGUGAUCCGGUGGUUCUGAAUGGAAGGGCCAUCGCUCAACGGAUAAAAGGUACUCCGGGGAUAACAGGCUGAUACCGCCCAAGAGUUCAUAUCGACGGCGGUGUUUGGCACCUCGAUGUCGGCUCAUCACAUCCUGGGGCUGAAGUAGGUCCCAAGGGUAUGGCUGUUCGCCAUUUAAAGUGGUACGCGAGCUGGGUUUAGAACGUCGUGAGACAGUUCGGUCCCUAUCUGCCGUGGGCGCUGGAGAACUGAGGGGGGCUGCUCCUAGUACGAGAGGACCGGAGUGGACGCAUCACUGGUGUUCGGGUUGUCAUGCCAAUGGCACUGCCCGGUAGCUAAAUGCGGAAGAGAUAAGUGCUGAAAGCAUCUAAGCACGAAACUUGCCCCGAGAUGAGUUCUCCCUGACUCCCUGAGAGUCCUGAAGGAACGUUGAAGACGACGACGUUGAUAGGCCGGGUGUGUAAGCGCAGCGAUGCGUUGAGCUAACCGGUACUAAUGAACCGUGAGGCUUAACCUU